rnacentral:rRNA from 1 species
GUCUACAGCCAUGCCACCCUGAACGUGCCCGAUCUCGUCUGAUCUCGGAAGCUAAGCAAGGUCGGGCCUGCUUAGUACUUGGAUGAGAGACCACCUAGGAAUACCGGGUGCUGUAGAUG